UACGGAGGGUGCGAGCGUUAAUCGGAUUUACUGGGCGUAAAGCGUGCGCAGGCGGCCCGUUAAGACAGGUGUGAAAUCCCUGGGCUCAACCUAGGAAUUGCGCUUGUGACUGGCGGGCUCGAGUACGGUAGAGGGGGGUGGAAUUCCAUGUGUAGCGGUGAAAUGCGUAGAGAUCAGGAGGAACACCGAUGGCGAAGGCAGCCCCCUGGGCCUGUACUGACGCUCAUGCACGAAAGCGUGGGGAGCAAACAGG
rnacentral:rRNA from 1 species